CUUGCAUUUUCUCUUCUUUCUUUAUUUAUCUACAAUUUCCUGAAAUAAAAUAAAUAAGCGAUUAAUACUACGAAAAUGAACAAAAAAUAGGCACUUAAAUAUGCAAAAAUAUGGACUAAUCAAACUUCCCCAUACCUAUCUUUUGCUCGUCCUCGAGUAAAAUCAAAAGAAAAGAAAAUAAACUUAGAAAACUAGAUGCGAUUCCUAGGCUCCUUUUCGUAGGCGUGACGGGUGAUUUUAGGUUCACCAACCCGUUAAACUCGUAGACGAUCUCUACAAGAGGAGUUUUGUCUCCUAAGGGUUUACAGAAGAUAUACCCAUAAAAUCUUUGAGACAUUCUAGCAAGUGUCUACUCGACUCUACUCUAAUUUCGUUGGUGUUAACAAAAAGCGUUUUUAAGGAAAAUACGACUUAAAGACUCAUCUACUAAUAAUCAAGAUACAGUU
rnacentral:lncRNA from 1 species